rnacentral:rRNA from 1 species
UCUACGGGAGGCAGCAGUGAGGAAUAUUGGUCAAUGGGCGCGAGCCUGAACCAGCCAAGUCGCGUGAGGGAGGACGGCCCUACGGGUUGUAAACCUCUUUUGCCGGGGAGCAACGGGCGUCACGUGUGGCGCAACUGAGAGUACCCGGAGAAAAAGCAUCGGCUAACUCCGUGCCAGCAGCCGCGGUAAUACGGAGGAUGCGAGCGUUAUCCGGAUUGAUUGGGUUUAAAGGGUGGGUAGGCGGUUCGUUAAGUCAGUGGUCAAAUUGAGGGGCUCAACCCCUUCCCGCCAUUGAAACUGGCGUUCUUGAGUGGAAGAGAAGUAUGCGGAAUGCGUGGUGUAGCGGUGAAAUGCAUAGAUAUCACGCAGAACCCCGAUUGCGAAGGCAGCAUGCCGGCUUCCGACUGACGCUGAAGCACGAAAGCGUGGGGAUCGAACAGGAUUAGAUACCCGGGUAGUC